UAUAUAUAUAUGAUAUUAAUGUAUUGUACCAUGUUUGUCUUCGACCGCGUCAGUCACUGUUUACUUAUCGAGGUGUAAACACGCUGUGUGUACAAAUUCUUGUUUAUAAAAAAACAAUGGAUUUUUAUAGAGAAUCUGAAAUAAAAAAAUUGUGUGGACUCCAGGACAUGUACACGGAUUUCGACGGCUGGCUGUGUAAAUACAACAAGUUAUUCCCAAACAGAUAUUCAACCAACAAACAAAUAUCAAAUAAUAUAAAAAAUGUCAUAUUAACUUUUGACAAACUAAUAGUUGACGGUUACAUCAGCGACGUUGUGAACAACAGAAAUGUUUUUUUACAAAUCAAAUAUGGCGGCGUUGGACGGAGAUAUUUAUGCCAAUAUACGAAAUCAAAACUUU